GGGUUGUGAGGUUAAGCGACUAAGCGUACACGGUGGAUGCCCUGGCAGUCAGAGGCGAUGAAGGACGUGCUAAUCUGCGAUAAGCGUCGGUAAGGUGAUAUGAACCGUUAUAACCGGCGAUUUCCGAAUGGGGAAACCCAGUGUGUUUCGACACACUAUCAUUAACUGAAUCCAUAGGUUAAUGAGGCGAACCGGGGGAACUGAAACAUCUAAGUACCCCGAGGAAAAGAAAUCAACCGAGAUUCCCCCAGUAGCGGCGAGCGAACGGGGAGCAGCCCAGAGCCUGAAUCAGUGUGUGUGUUAGUGGAAGCGUCUGGAAAGGCGCGCGAUACAGGGUGACAGCCCCGUACACAAAAAUGCACAUACUGUGAGCUCGAUGAGUAGGGCGGGACACGUGGUAUCCUGUCUGAAUAUGGGGGGACCAUCCUCCAAGGCUAAAUACUCCUGACUGACCGAUAGUGAACCAGUACCGUGAGGGAAAGGCGAAAAGAACCCCGGCGAGGGGAGUGAAAAAGAACCUGAAACCGUGUACGUACAAGCAGUGGGAGCCUCUUAAUGGGGUGACUGCGUACCUUUUGUAUAAUGGGUCAGCGACUUAUAUUCUGUAGCAAGGUUAACCGAAUAGGGGAGCCGAAGGGAAACCGAGUCUUAACUGGGCGUUAAGUUGCAGGGUAUAGACCCGAAACCCGGUGAUCUAGCCAUGGGCAGGUUGAAGGUUGGGUAACACUAACUGGAGGACCGAACCGACUAAUGUUGAAAAAUUAGCGGAUGACUUGUGGCUGGGGGUGAAAGGCCAAUCAAACCGGGAGAUAGCUGGUUCUCCCCGAAAGCUAUUUAGGUAGCGCCUCGUGAAUUCAUCUCCGGGGGUAGAGCACUGUUUCGGCAAGGGGGUCAUCCCGACUUACCAACCCGAUGCAAACUGCGAAUACCGGAGAAUGUUAUCACGGGAGACACACGGCGGGUGCUAACGUCCGUCGUGAAGAGGGAAACAACCCAGACCGCCAGCUAAGGUCCCAAAGUCAUGGUUAAGUGGGAAACGAUGUGGGAAGGCCCAGACAGCCAGGAUGUUGGCUUAGAAGCAGCCAUCAUUUAAAGAAAGCGUAAUAGCUCACUGGUCGAGUCGGCCUGCGCGGAAGAUGUAACGGGGCUAAACCAUGCACCGAAGCUGCGGCAGCGACACUGUGUGUUGUUGGGUAGGGGAGCGUUCUGUAAGCCUGUGAAGGUGUACUGUGAGGUAUGCUGGAGGUAUCAGAAGUGCGAAUGCUGACAUAAGUAACGAUAAAGCGGGUGAAAAGCCCGCUCGCCGGAAGACCAAGGGUUCCUGUCCAACGUUAAUCGGGGCAGGGUGAGUCGACCCCUAAGGCGAGGCCGAAAGGCGUAGUCGAUGGGAAACAGGUUAAUAUUCCUGUACUUGGUGUUACUGCGAAGGGGGGACGGAGAAGGCUAUGUUGGCCGGGCGACGGUUGUCCCGGUUUAAGCGUGUAGGCUGGUUUUCCAGGCAAAUCCGGAAAAUCAAGGCUGAGGCGUGAUGACGAGGCACUACGGUGCUGAAGCAACAAAUGCCCUGCUUCCAGGAAAAGCCUCUAAGCAUCAGGUAACAUCAAAUCGUACCCCAAACCGACACAGGUGGUCAGGUAGAGAAUACCAAGGCGCUUGAGAGAACUCGGGUGAAGGAACUAGGCAAAAUGGUGCCGUAACUUCGGGAGAAGGCACGCUGAUAUGUAGGUGAAGUCCCUUGCGGAUGGAGCUGAAAUCAGUCGAAGAUACCAGCUGGCUGCAACUGUUUAUUAAAAACACAGCACUGUGCAAACACGAAAGUGGACGUAUACGGUGUGACGCCUGCCCGGUGCCGGAAGGUUAAUUGAUGGGGUUAGCGGUAACGCGAAGCUCUUGAUCGAAGCCCCGGUAAACGGCGGCCGUAACUAUAACGGUCCUAAGGUAGCGAAAUUCCUUGUCGGGUAAGUUCCGACCUGCACGAAUGGCGUAAUGAUGGCCAGGCUGUCUCCACCCGAGACUCAGUGAAAUUGAACUCGCUGUGAAGAUGCAGUGUACCCGCGGCAAGACGGAAAGACCCCGUGAACCUUUACUAUAGCUUGACACUGAACAUUGAGCCUUGAUGUGUAGGAUAGGUGGGAGGCUUUGAAGUGUGGACGCCAGUCUGCAUGGAGCCGGCCUUGAAAUACCACCCUUUAAUGUUUGAUGUUCUAACGUUGGCCCCUGAUCGGGGUUGCGGACAGUGUCUGGUGGGUAGUUUGACUGGGGCGGUCUCCUCCUAAAGAGUAACGGAGGAGCACGAAGGUUGGCUAAUCCUGGUCGGACAUCAGGAGGUUAGUGCAAUGGCAUAAGCCAGCUUGACUGCGAGCGUGACGGCGCGAGCAGGUGCGAAAGCAGGUCAUAGUGAUCCGGUGGUUCUGAAUGGAAGGGCCAUCGCUCAACGGAUAAAAGGUACUCCGGGGAUAACAGGCUGAUACCGCCCAAGAGUUCAUAUCGACGGCGGUGUUUGGCACCUCGAUGUCGGCUCAUCACAUCCUGGGGCUGAAGUAGGUCCCAAGGGUAUGGCUGUUCGCCAUUUAAAGUGGUACGCGAGCUGGGUUUAGAACGUCGUGAGACAGUUCGGUCCCUAUCUGCCGUGGGCGCUGGAGAACUGAGGGGGGCUGCUCCUAGUACGAGAGGACCGGAGUGGACGCAUCACUGGUGUUCGGGUUGUCAUGCCAAUGGCACUGCCCGGUAGCUAAAUGCGGAAGAGAUAAGUGCUGAAAGCAUCUAAGCACGAAACUUGCCCCGAGAUGAGUUCUCCCUGACUCCUUGAGAGUCCUGAAGGAACGUUGAAGACGACGACGUUGAUAGGCCGGGUGUGUAAGCGCAGCGAUGCGUUGAGCUAACCGGUACUAAUGAACCGUGAGGCUUAACCUUACAACGCCGAAGGUGUUU
rnacentral:rRNA from 1 species